rnacentral:rRNA from 1 species
AUUGAACGCUGGCGGCAGGCCUAACACAUGCAAGUCGAACGCGUCGCGCACGGGUGAGUAAUGUGUGGGAAACUGCCUGAUGGAGGGGGAUAACUACGGGACACGGUCUCUAAUACCGCAUUCCCGCAGGAGUGCCUAUAUGGGUUGGGCGUGUUGGUGGGGUAACGGCUCACCAAGGCGACGACCCCGCGCUGGUCUGAGAGGAUGAACAGCCACACUGGAACUGAGACACGGCCCAGACUCCUACGGGAGGCAGCAGUGGGGAAUAUUGCACAAUGGGCGCAAGCCUGAUGCAGCCAUGCCGCGUGUAUGAAGAAGGCCUUAGGGUUGUAAAGUACUUUCAGCGGGGAGGCGUUACCGGCAGAAGAAGCACCGGCUAACUCCGUGCCAGCCGCCGCGGUAAUAC